GCGGGUGUAGUUCAAUGGCAGAACGGCAGCUUCCCAAGCUUCAUACGAGGGUUCGAUUCCCUUCGCCCGCU
rnacentral:tRNA from 1 species